UUUUUUCACUCUCCCUCAAAGGCUUCUGGCUUAAAAAUGUCUUACACUUCGGGGUUUGAGCUAAUGCCAGAGGUCUUUCGAGUGAGAGUGGACAA
rnacentral:pre_miRNA from 1 species